rnacentral:tRNA from 1 species
GUGUGUGUAGCUCAGUCUGGUAGAGCAGCGAUAUUUGAGUUGAUCUAUUUUUUUAUGGAUUGACUUCCUUCAAAACUUUGCAUCGAGUGUCGUAGGUUCGAAUCCUACCACACACC